UACGUAGGGGGCUAGCGUUGUCCGGAAUCAUUGGGCGUAAAGCGCGUGUAGGCGGUCCGGUAAGUCCGCUGUGAAAGUCGGGGGCUCAACCCUCGGAUGCCGGUGGAUACUGUCGGGCUUGAGUACGGAAGAGGCGAGUGGAAUUCCUGGUGUAGCGGUGAAAUGCGCAGAGUAUCAAGGAGGAACACCAAUUGCGAAGGCAGCUCGCUGGGACGUUACUGACGCUGAGGAGCGAAAGCGUGGGAGCGAACAGG
rnacentral:rRNA from 1 species